rnacentral:rRNA from 1 species
AAUACAUGCAAGUCGAGCGAGCGGAACCACAGAUUUACUUCGGUAAUGACGUUGGGAAAGCGAGCGGCGGAUGGGUAGAGUAACACGUGGGGAACCUGCCCCUAAGUCUGGGAUACCAUUUGGAAACAGGUGCUAAUACCGGAUAAUAAAGCAGAUCGCAUGAUCAGCUUUUGAAAGGCGGCGUAAGCUGUCGCUAAGGGAUGGCCCCGCGGUGCAUUAGCUAGUUGGUAAGGUAACGGCUUACCAAGGCGACGAUGCAUAGCCGAGUUGAGAGACUGAUCGGCCACAUUGGGACUGAGACACGGCCCAAACUCCUACGGGAGGCAGCAGUAGGGAAUCUUCCACAAUGGACGCAAGUCUGAUGGAGCAACGCCGCGUGAGUGAAGAAGGUUUUCGGAUCGUAAAGCUCUGUUGUUGGUGAAGAAGGAUAGAGGUAGUAACUGGCCUUUAUUUGACGGUAAUCAACCAGAAAGUCACGGCUAACUACGUGCCAGCAGCCGCGGUAAUACGUAGGUGGCAAGCGUUGUCCGGAUUUAUUGGGCGUAAAGCGAGCGCAGGCGGAAAAAUAAGUCUAAUGUGAAAGCCCUCGGCUUAACCGAGGAACUGCAUCGGAAACUGUUUUUCUUGA